AAACAGUGUCUUUUUUUUACCCCAAAAUGCCUUAAUACUUUUUCACCAAAUCGACAGCCCUCUGCAUCUCCGUCGGCAGCUCACUUCUGUAUCUUCGUCGAGAUAUGCUAUCAAGUAUACGGAAAGAGGACCCAAGGUACGUACUAGGAUUUACCUCAUCAUCGUCAUCAAAUCAUUAUCCGUUUUUUCUUUACAAGCUUUACCACUUAGCAAAGCACUAAUAUUGACUCUUGGCUGUAUAUUUAGCUAUCUUAGUUUCCCACUUUUUUCUAUUUUCAUUUUCUCUCUUUCCUUCUAAAUUCUGAAUCAUUCUUUAAUUCCAUAAAGGUAAAGAAAAAGAUUACCCCUUCCUUAAGGAAAUAAAAUCAAAGAAAAAAAAACCCACCUGUUUCCUCUACAAAACAGUUAAUGUCUAUAGUCAAAUAAUAGUAAUUUGUUUUGUUAUUUUCUAUGAAAGAGCAAUGGGAAAUAUUUCUGAGUUUUGUCUCUUAUAGGUAUAUAUGUGUGUUUCUUUCUUUUGAUGGUGCAGGAUCUUCAAAAUUUGAGAGAAGAAAUUCAAUCCAAGAAAAGAAAAAGAACCCCAAAAGAUGAGGAUUAAUGGGAGUUGGGAGUUGAUUUUUUAUUGAUUUUUUCAAGGUAAAUUCUUUGUUUUCGUUCUUUAUUUUUCUUUGUGAUUAUUUUAUUUCUUCGAAGUGUUUGUUUAAAUGCCUGAGUGUAGACUUUAGCUCUAUUAUUAAAAAAGAAUUUAUUUUGAUUCGUUGGGUUUAAUUUAACCCAAAGUUUCUCUUCUAAUGUUCUGUAAAUUUACUUUCAUUGGAUUUAUUUGCAUUAUAACUUGUGAAUUUGUCAAUGCCUGCAUAUAUAUAUUUGUACAAUUUGAUAAUUAAGUCAAUAAAGGUUUGCUUUUUUAUUUUGUUUUUUUGUUAAUACUUAUGAUUAUUAAUCCUUAUGAUCUCUAUGUGACCAGUUCUCAUACUUUUUUAUUGUCAUUAAUCAAUGUUUUUUAUGAGGGCUUUUGUGUUUUUAUUUAUUUAUUAAAUUUUUAUGUUUCAAUUAUGAACUUUGAGUUUAAAGGGAGCAAAUUUUUGUUGUUAAGUGAUAUUGUUAUAUAGUAAAAAAAAAGAUGAAUUCACAAAAUCAAGUGGAGUCAACUUUCAAGGAAAUACUUGAAGUGGUUAAGCCGUUGCAUGAAGACUGAGUUACUCGGUUUAAGAUCGUCAAUGAACUGCGUGAAGUCGUUCAAUCUAUCGAAAAUUUAAGAGGUAAAAUUUUAUGUUACUUUAUUUUGAUUGUUCCAUGGGAAAUGCUAAUAGUGAUUCUUAGUAACUCGUCUUGCGAGUAAAUCUAUACAAGUUUAUUGAUUGAUAUUGGCUGCAGAAAUGCUAUAUUUUGCAUUCCGUGAUGGAUGUUGCGAACAAUUUGCAAACCAAGAUAAUUUUUAUGUAUACAAACAUAAAAUGUUUGGCCCCAUGAAAAGAAACACGAACUAAACAAGUGGUUUUUUUGUAUAUCAUUCUUUUCCAUUUUUCAUUAACUGGUUUUUCUUUCAGCAACUAAAAUUUCCUCUCAAAUUUUUAAUUGUUUCAUAUCAUAUCUUACCUUCUCAGAAUUAUAUUUUUGAAUCAAAUUCAAAACUAAAUUCCAUGCUUUCUUUUAACUUUAUAAAAAAAUUUGUUAUAUAUAAUAUAAUUCUUAUUUUUCAGAAUUUUAAUAGAUUUUGUUCUGUUUUCAAAUUAAAAUGUUAUUUAGUAUUUUAAUUUUAAUAUUAUAAUUUAGUUAUAUUAAUAAAAUAUUACUUGUAUCUUAUAGGUUAUCAUGUUUGAGCAACAUUGCAAUAUUGAUGACCUUGAAUACCAAAUACUACUUUUGAUGAUGAACCAACUCUACAACUUACCUAAAUAAAUUCAUCUAUGGUGCAUCAAUUCACUAUUAAAAUAUUUGGGACCUAAUACCAUUAGCACAUUCACGCAACUUUCUUGAGAUGAGAAAACUUGUCCUUCUAUGAUGAUUGCCAAGAGUGCUUUUUCCAUAAUCUAUAGCAUGAAACUGUUUUGAUGUUACACUUAAUGCAAAAAUUGAAGUUUUGGGCAUGAUUAGAGUUAUUAGAUGAUUACUUUAAGAGAGCUUUCCCGUUUUACUAGCAUUACUUAAUUAGAAUCUAUUUCGACUUCAUAGUUUAUCGAGUCUUUAGCCAUAGCAAACUUAGAUUAGAGAAUUAAAUCUUAGCAGCUUUUAAGGUUCUAAGACAAAUGUUUCACUAAAAAUUGAAGACAUCCAGCUAACUACACUUGCUACAUAUAUGAACUAGUAUAGUAAAAAGCUGCAAUGAUAGUGUGGGAAUAUUUGCAUGUGAGAAGCUGCCCAUUGCGAUAUUGGGAGCUAAGCUUGACCAUUUGGCUUCCCCAGCAGUUUUAAAACAGUUUGAUGACAUCUUAAGUGCAAGUAAGGUAAGAAGCCCCCAUGCCUGUAUCAUACUGUCUGCUUGUUAUCUAGUAUAAAUUAGAUUUCUUUGAUUUGUAUUGUUAAUAUAGAUAUUACCUCAUUGUUAUUCUUUGGUCCAGUCGUGGAAAUUUUUUAAUGUUAUUUGUUCAUUCAAGUUUCUCAAAAUAUUUGGUGUGGUUUUUCUCAUUCUGUAUUGGUCCUUCUAUAGUCCUUUUUAGUUGGUUUAGAAAUAUAUUUGGUUUGAUUACAGAUUUAAGUGAUAUUACCAAUGAAUAUUUCUCAAAUCUAACUGUUCAUCAGACCUUGAUAUUGCCUUUUGUGCUUGUAAUUUUAGAUAUUAGAACUAAAGAAUAAUUUCUAUAUAACGUUAAACAAUAGUAGUGCAGCAUGUUUCUGUUCUACCUUUUGCAAAUGAAUACUAUUGUUCCUUGUUAAAUAACGGAAGCAUUCCAUUGUAUUGUGAAACCUCUAGUUUUUCUUGAUAUGAGUUAACUAUGGAAUAUUAUUUUCAUUUUCUCAUAUAUAUGUAUUUGGUGAUGCAUUUAUUGCAGACAAUUGAGAUUCUUUUCAGCAAAAGGAUAUUCUUAGAUAUAGAGGUUAGUUUCUUUAAUUCCCUCUUGCUCCUGAGCCUGUGCAGUUUUGCUGUUCAUUUUUUUUUUUGUUCUAUUCGGCUAUUAGCAACAAUGUUUUAUUUCUCUUUUGUUGAAACAAAUUCUGAUUCUUGCUUUAUGGUGGCAUUAUUAAAAAUUUAUCUUUCCAUAUCAUAAUUCAAAGAGAUCAGUUAAUGUGCUUUGACAUAUGUGGCUUUGAGGGUCGUAUAAGUAAUUUCCUUACUGGCCUGACUUUGGCUUACAGGUGCAUACUUUGGCUUUGACGGUCGUAUAAGUGUUUAAUAAGGAGAAAACCAUUUUAUGUGUUAAAUGCUGAAAAUUUAGGUGUUAAAUGUUGCAAUUUAUGGUGUCUGAAAGUUGUGAUUUAUGAUAUUCGAAUGAUGUAUUUUAUGUUGUUCGAAUGUGUUGAAGAGUUGAUUUAAUAUAAUGCUUAAUGGUUGUUUAUUGUUGUUCAAAGCAUGAUGAAAUAAACAUGUUAGGCGUGGUUUAACACAUGCCUUGCUGACCUGUAAGGUUGUCCAAAACAAGACAAAAUUUAGUUGUCUUUAAGAUGUUCGAAUGUGGUUGUUCAAAUGGUUCUUCAAAUUUUCCAAAUGUGUCUUUAAGGUGCUCGAAAAUGUCAUAUUAAUGUUGUCUAUAUAUGAUUUUGAAUGCUGGAAAUUUGCAGCAUUUAAUUUCCUACUUGAAGUUGAUUAAACCAUGCUGUAAGUGCAAAACAUUUAUAUGCUGUUCACAUGCUAAAUUAACCAUUAGUGAGCUUAAAAUUGAUCUAUUUGAAUGUGUUAAAUUCAUUGUUCAAUGUGAUGUUAUUUAUGUUAAUGUAUUGAGUAUAUUAAGUUGUGCAAUUUGAUGUUAUAUGUGGCGUUAACGUUGACUUGUUAAUUGCAUAUUUUAUUAUUAAUUUGAUUUAGGGUUCUGAAUUUAGAAGAACCUUAUCUUAAGAUAAGUUAUUUACUUUCAUAAUAGCUGGAAUCUGAUUCUGUUAUUUUGGUUGGUUUUUGCCUUCGUAUGUCAUUCAUUAACUUUUGUUUCUUUUUUCUCAGGUUUGAGUUUUUGUUGGAUGCAUGGUCCAGGAAUAUUAGCUGAAUUCAUGCAUAGUGACGACUUGUUUGAGCUAACUGUUGAUCUUAAAGUGUGCAUUCUAUCAUUAUUUUGUUCUAUUUGUAUUUUGUUAGAUUUCUGGUGUAGUAUGAUAAGUGCGGUAUUUUGUUUGAUUGUUAUUGAUAAACUUACUGUUUGGUGGGAUAUAUAUUUAUAUUGAAUUUUAAAUUUUUUAUAUUUUUCAU
rnacentral:lncRNA from 1 species